rnacentral:tRNA from 1 species
GCUUCGGUAGUGUAUUGGAUAGGCACGGCAGACCGCACAUCUGUGAGUGCGGGUUCAAGUCCCGGUUGAGGUU